CCAGGUUCUGUAGCCAGGAUCUUCAGCAAAGUUCUGUAGCAAGGUUCUCUCCAGGAUCUUUUGCCAUGUUCUCUCGCUAGGUUCUGUCCCUAGGUUCUGUCUCUAGGUUCUUCAGCCAGGU